GGAAGUAAAAGUCGAACAAGGCUUCCGUAGGUGAACCUGCGGAAGGAUCAUUAACGUGUCUUUGACUGAAAAGUCAAAACAACCAAAAUAAUCGACCGUGAACUAAACCCCUUUAUGUGUACUGGGUUGCGUGUGUGUCAUGUCUCAUGUAUGCACACACAGCCCUCUCACCCACCACAAUCACCCGAAAACAUAUAACCAUUCUCACUAAAUGUCAUUGAAAAAACAUGAAAGUUGACGACUUUCAACGGUGGAUCUCUAGGCUCGU
rnacentral:misc_RNA from 1 species